CCUACGGGUGGCAGCAGUGGGGAAUAUUGCACAAUGGGGGAAACCCUGAUGCAGCGACGCCGCGUGAGUGAAGAAGUAAUUCGUUAUGUAAAGCUCUAUCAGCAGGGGAGAAAAUGACGGUACCUGAGUCAGAAGCCCCGGCUAACUACGUGCCAGCAGCCGCGGUAAUACGUAGGGGGCAAGCGUUAUCCGGAUUUACUGGGUGUAAAGGGAGCGUAAACGGCAGUGCAAGGCUGGAGUGAAAGGCGGGGGCUCAAACCCCGGACUGCUCUGGAAACUGUACGGCUGGAGUGCAGGAGAGGUAAGUGGAAUUCCUAGUGUAGCGGUGAAAUGCGUAGAUAUUAGGAGGAACACCAGUGGCGAAGGCGGCUUACUCGACUGUAACUGACGUUGAGGCUCGAAAGCGUGGGGAGCAAACAGGAUUAGAUACCCUUGUAGUC
rnacentral:rRNA from 1 species